rnacentral:rRNA from 1 species
AGGACGAACGCUGGCGGCGUGCUUAACACAUGCAAGUCGAGCGGAAAGGCCCUUCGGGGUACUCGAGCGGCGAACGGGUGAGUAACACGUGAGUAAUCUGCCCCUAGCUCUGGGAUAGCUCCGGGAAACCGGGAUUAAUACCAGAUACGACCACUUUAGACAUCUUCUGUGGUGGAAAGAACUUCGGCUAGGGAUGAACUCGCGGCCUAUCAGCUUGUUGGUGAGGUAACGGCUCACCAAGGCGACGACGGGUAGCCGGCCUGAGAGGGCGACCGGCCACACUGGGACUGAGACACGGCCCAGACUCCUACGGGAGGCAGCAGUGGGGAAUAUUGCGCAAUGGGCGAAAGCCUGACGCAGCGACGCCGCGUGGGGGAUGAAGGCCUUCGGGUUGUAAACCCCUUCAGCAGGGACGAAGCGAAAGUGACGGUACCUGCAGAAGAAGCGCCGGCUAACUACGCGCCAGCAGCCGC